rnacentral:lncRNA from 1 species
AUAAAUAUAUAGUAAGUAUAUAAACCUAAAAUAUUAAUAUAGAUCAAGUAUAUAAAUGUGUAUACAAUAAAUAUAUGAACCUAAAAUAUGAAUAUAUAUAAAGUAGAUGAAUAUAACACAUAAACAAACUAUAAAUGUCUAGACAUUGACCAUGUACAAGUGUGCAGUGUGGACAGUGAAUGGAAAUGUGAGCAUGAAAUGUGUGUUGACGCCUCCCAUCUCCUGUGCACACACAAGACACAGCGACCUCCCUGUCUCCUGCACACACGACACCCAGGGACCUUCCCGUCUCCUGCACACACGACACCCAGGGACCUUCCCAUCUCCUGUGCACACACGACACACAGGGACCUCCCCAUCUCCUGCACACACGACACACAGGGACCUCCCCGUCUCCUCCGCACACACGACACACAGGGACCUCGCCCGUCUCCUGCGCACAGCACGACACACAGCGGACCUCCCGUCUCCUGCCACACACGACAACAGGGACCUCCUCAUUCUCCUGCGCACACAGACCACCCAGGACAGGCGACCUCCCCGUCUCCGGCUCACACACGACACCCAGGACCUCUCCAUCUCCUGCGCACACAAGACACCAGUAAGGGACCUCCCCCGCUCUCCUGAGCAUCACACGACAUCCAGCGACUCACCCAUUUCUCUUGCGCACACAAGACACCUAGGGGACAGGCGACCCUCCUGAGUCUCCUGAGCACACACGACACCCAGGGACCUCCCCGAUUGCUGCCACACACACACACAGGGACCCCGGUCCUCCUGCACACACGACACACCAGGACCUCCCGUCUCCUGCACACACGACACCCAGGGACUCCCGUUGCCCUGCAACACGCACAAUUAGGGACCUUCCACGUUCUCCUGCACACACGACACACAGCGACCUCCCCG